rnacentral:rRNA from 1 species
AUUGAACGCUGGCGGCAUGCCUUACACAUGCAAGUCGAACGGCAGCGGACCUUCGGUGCCGGCGAGUGGCGAACGGGUGAGUAAUAUAUCGGAACGUACCUUUCAGUGGGGGAGUAACGUAGCGAAAGUUACGCUAAUACCGCAUAUUCUGUGAGCAGGAAAGCAGGGGAUCGCAAGACCUUGCGCUGAUUGAGCGGCCGAUAUCAGAUUAGCUAGUUGGUGAGGUAAAGGACUCACCAAGGCGACGAUCUGUAGCGGGUCGUGAGAGGAUGAUCCGCCACACUGGAACUGAGACACGGUCCAGACUCCUACGGGAGGCGAGCAGUGGGGAAGUUUU